GUAGUAUUAAGAGAGACAAUGGUAGCGAGUAGUAUGAAAGACUGUAAGUCAACAUAGUGAGGUUGGUUGUGGUGGUGAAUGUGUCAAACAACACAGAACUUUCACCCUAGAGACCGGGGAUCGUGACCCAUGUCUACCGUGUCCUUUCACUAUUC